AUGCGAAUCAUCUGGAAAUCUUGUUAAAAUGGAGAUUCUGCUUCAGGGGUCAGAGGUAGAGCCUGGGAGUCUGCAAUUCUAACAAGUUCCAGGUGAUGUUGAU
rnacentral:pre_miRNA from 1 species